ACAAAAUGCCAAAUCAGCGCCAAGACAGUGUUAGACGUAUAUUAAGAUGUCUGGUUCCUAUUUAUUUAAACAGAAGAAGUAUGACAGCGUUGUUCAAGUUGCUACGUAAUGGAAUAACGAUAACGUUCAUGCACUGAACUACUUAUCCGCCGCAGACUACGUGAGUGAUUGGGUUCCUAUUGAGGCUCACGACCCUACCCAGGCUGUUCUGACAUUCCCACACGGGUUGGGCGAGGUUCCCUUGCUAGUUGACGUCUCAGUAAAGUCAACCAAUGGACCGAAUAAGGACUUCAUUUUUCAGGCCAUUGGUUCGCAGCCAAGAGACGACGAUUCACCGCAACACUAUGGGGGCGUGGUCUAUUUUUACAACGAGGAUCACGUGAUUGUCUCGGCCCCGACGCAUACCAACGGCGAACGUUCGGGUUAUGUUAUUUACACAGACAACACAACGUUCUACGCUGGACCCAAUGCAGAUUCCGUGGACGCCGCCCUUGUGCGCGUUCGAGCCUGGCGCGCGUCCAGGCUACCACUCCCGGCGUGGAAGGUCACCGGAAGAACCGUGGGCU